CUUGCAAUAUAUGUUCCUGACAUUAGAAAUGUAUUUGGUGUAGUUGGUGCCAGUACAUCAACAUGUUUGAUUUUUAUAUUCCCAGGACUAUUUUAUCUUAAACUUAGCAGAGAGGAUUUUCUGUCAUGGAAAAAGCUUGGGGUAGGUUGUUUUUGUUUCUUUCUUUCAAGACUUCUAUUUUAAGAAAUAGUUUGUCAGUUUAUAUUAUUUUACCUGCAUCAAGAAAGUCAAUAUAUUUUAAAAUAUAGAAUACAUUAUUGCAGAGAGUAGAGAUUUAACAAAUAAUCCAAUUGUAUUUUUUUAUCUUUUUUCUUUUAUCUUUCUUAUCUUUUAUCUUUUUUCUUAUUUCCACAGGCAUUCGUUUUGCUCAUCUUUGGAAUUUUGGUUGGGAAUUUUAGUUUAGCACUCAUCAUUUUUGAUUGGAUUAAUAAAUAAAAGAAAUAUUUUCCUACUUCUUACAAGAAUAAUAU
rnacentral:lncRNA from 1 species